rnacentral:lncRNA from 1 species
AACUCGUGAAAAGAAAAGGAUUUGGCAAAAUCGCCGACUUGAAAGUAAGGUGUGAAGAAAAAGUAGAUUUGUAUUGUUGAUUGAUGUGUUGUUUUACAAGCCUUACGAGGUACCUAUUUAUACCCUAUUACAACUGAUUUCCUAACCGACUAGGAUUUAUCUCUAAUUUAAAGAUAACAAAUAUUUACACAUGAACACAACCCGCAUCGGAGUUGGUUAUUAUCAUCCCACGGGCCAAUCUUC